GUAGUAUGGGAUGAUAUUACAUUUUUUUUAAACCAGAUUAUAGUUAUGCUGCUCAUAGAAUAUUUCCUUACAUUAAGUUUUCAUUUAAAAACCUUAAUUUUCAAUAUCAAGAGACAUACAAAUUGAUUCAUAACACUAUAUAAUAACUAUAAAUUCGUUGAAAGUCACCAGUCACAAAUUAAUAGUAAACAUUUUUGUGUAGUUAAAAUUCAAAGUAACCAGUGAGGUGGUGAUA